ACUCAAAUGAAUAGACGGGGACCCGCACAACCGGUGGAGCGUGUGGUUCAAUUCGAGACAAAACGAAGAACCUCACCAGGGCUUGACAUAUUACCGUUUAUUCUCCAAGAAACUGGAGGAAAUCCGCAAGGAUGGUAUUACAGGUGCUGCAUGGCUGUCGUCAGUUCGUGCCGUGAGGUGUUCCCUUAAGUGGGGAAACGAACGCAACCCCCGCGCAAUGUUAAAUAUUCAUUGCGGACGGUCCCGUGUUUUACACGGGAAGGAAGGAGGGGUAGAUGUCAAGUCAGCAUGGCCCUUACGCCCUGGGCUACACACACACUACAAUGGCGAAUAACAAUGGGUUGCAAGCGCGCAAGUGCAAGCUAAUCCCUUAAAUUUCGCCUCAGUUCAGAUUGGGGUCUGAAACCCGACCCCAUGAAGUCGGAAUCGGUAGUAAUCGCGGAUCAGCAUGCCGCGGUGAAUACGUUCUCGGGUCUUGUACACACCGCCCGU
rnacentral:rRNA from 1 species